AUUGAACGCUGGCGGCAGGCCUAACACAUGCAAGUCGAACGAGUGGCGGACGGGUGAGUAAUGUCUGGGAAACUGCCUGAUGGAGGGGGAUAACUACUGGAAACGGUAGCUAAUACCGCAUACCAUCGGAUGUGCCCAGAUGGGAUUAGCUAGUGGGGGGGGUAACGGCUCACCUGGGCGACGAUCCCUAGCUGGUCUGAGAGGAUGACCGGCCACACUGGAACUGGUACACGGUCCAUACUCCUACGGGAGGCAGCAGUGGGGAAUAUUGCACAAUGGGCGCAAGCCUGAUGCAGCCAUGCCGCGUGUAUUAAGAAGGCCUUCGGGUUGUAAAGUACUUUCAGCGGGGAGGCGGUACCCGCAGAAGAAGCACCGGCUAACUCCGUGCCAGCAGCCGCGGUAAUAC
rnacentral:rRNA from 1 species